AAUCCAUAGGUUAAUGAGGCGAACCGGGGGAACUGAAACAUCUAAGUACCCCGAGGAAAAGAAAUCAACCGAGAUUCCCCCAGUAGCGGCGAGCGAACGGGGAGGAGCCCAGAGCCUGAAUCAGCAUGUGUGUUAGUGGAAGCGUCUGGAAAGGCGCGCGAUACAGGGUGACAGCCCCGUACACAAAAGCGCAUGUGCUGUGAGCUCGAUGAGUAGGGCGGGACACGUGGUAUCCUGUCUGAAUAUGGGGGGACCAUCCUCCAAGGCUAAAUACUCCUGACUGACCGAUAGUGAACCAGUACCGUGAGGGAAAGGCGAAAAGAACCCCGGCGAGGGGAGUGAAAAAGAACCUGAAACCGUGUACGUACAAGCAGUGGGAGCCCCACCACUAAGCCAGUGGUGAACUCCACAUACGCAUCCUUUGCUGAGGAUACGGUUAACGGAGCGAAAGCGACGUUCAACCGCAAAAGAAGCAGAGGG
rnacentral:rRNA from 1 species